CGGAUUCUGUGGAAAGAGAUGGGACAAACAGCCACCAUGAACUGCAGUCACACUAAGGGUGUAGAGUACAACCAGAUGUACUGGUACCGACAGCUGCCAGGACAGAACAUGGAGCAGAUGGUGCUCACGGACUACUUCUAAUUCUGACUUCGAACCAGACUUCCAGAAACGACAGGUUCUCCACCACCAAACCUGACUCUUUCAGUGGAACGUUGACGGUGCAGAACCUGGAGUACGCAGAUACAGGCGUGUACUUCUGUUCUACCGAGGCUGGUAUUUCUGCGCCGUCAGUGAACACAGCGAUGCAGACGUACGAGGAACCUGAACACAAACCUCCAGGAGAUGUUUGAGUCGGGUACGGCAGGGGAACCUCGAGGACCACAAAC